rnacentral:rRNA from 1 species
UACAGAGGUCCCGAGCGUUGUCCGGAAUCACUGGGCGUAAAGGGCGCGUAGGUGGCCCGUUAAGUGGCUGGUGAAAUCCCGGGGCUCAACUCCGGGGCUGCCGGUCAGACUGGCGAGCUAGAGCACGGUAGGGGCAGAUGGAAUUCCCGGUGUAGCGGUGGAAUGCGUAGAGAUCGGGAAGAAUACCAGUGGCGAAGGCGUUCUGCUGGGCCGUUGCUGACACUGAGGCGCGACAGCGUGGGGAGCAAACAGG